UUACCAGGGCUAGACAAACUAAGAAUCCUGAAGAAACUCGGGAGUGCUCGCAAGAGAACUUAGGUCCAGGUGCUGCAUGGCUGUCGUCAGCUCGUGUCGUGAGAUGUUGGGUUAAGUCCCGCAACGAGCGCAACCCUUAUCCUUAGUUGCCAUCAUUUAGUUGGGCACUCAAAGGAGACUGCCGGGGUCAACCCGGAGGAAGGUGGGGAUGACGUCAAGUCCUCAUGGCCCUUAUGUCCUGGGCUACACACGUGCUACAAUGGUCGGUACAAAGCGCUGCGAAGCCGCAAGGUGGAGCGAAUCGCAAAAAGCCGGCCUCAGUACGGAUUGCACUCUGCAACUCGAGUGCAUGAAGUCGGAAUUGCUAGUAAUCGUCGAUCAGCAGGCGACGGUGAAUACGUUCCCGGGCCUUGUACACACCGCCCGUCACACCAUGGAAGUCGAGUGCUCCAGAAGUGGCCACGCUAACCCGCAAGGGAGGCAGGUCCCCAAGGAGUGUUUGGUAACUGGGGUGAAGUCGUAACAAGGUAAA
rnacentral:rRNA from 1 species